AGGCUCAGAACGAACGCUGGCGGCAGGCCUAACACAUGCAAGUCGAGCGCGCCCUUCGGGGUGAGCGGCGGACGGGUUAGUAACGCGUGGGAAUAUACCCUUUUCUGCGGAAUAGCCUCUGGAAACGGAGAGUAAUACCGCAUACGCCCUUCGGGGGAAAGAUUUAUCGGGGAAGGAUUAGCCCGCGUUAGAUUAGGUAGUUGGUGGGGUAAUGGCCUACCAAGCCUACGAUCUAUAGCUGGUUUUAGAGGAUGAUCAGCAACACUGGGACUGAGACACGGCCCAGACUCCUACGGGAGGCAGCAGUGGGGAAUCUUGGACAAUGGGCGCAAGCCUGAUCCAGCCAUGCCGCGUGAGUGAUGAAGGCCUUAGGGUCGUAAAGCUCUUUCGCCUGUGAAGAUAAUGACGGUAGCAGGUAAAGAAACCCCGGCUAACUCCGUGCCAGCAGCCGCGGUAAUACGGAGGGGGUUAGCGUUGUUCGGAAUUACUGGGCGUAAAGCGCACGUAGGCGGACUGGAAAGUUGGGGGUGAAAUCCCAGGGCUCAACCCUGGAACUGCCUCCAAAACUAUCAGUCUAGAGUUCGAGAGAGGUGAGUGGAAUUCCGAGUGUAGAGGUGAAAUUCGUAGAUAUUCGGAGGAACACCAGUGGCGAAGGCGGCUCACUGGCUCGAUACUGACGCUGAGGUGCGAAAGUGUGGGGAGCAAACAGGAUUAGAUACCCUGGUAGUCCACACCGUAAAACGAUGAAUGCCAGUCGUCGGGUAGCAUGCUAUUCGGUGACACACCUAACGGAUUAAGCAU
rnacentral:rRNA from 1 species